GUGGGGAAUUUUGGACAAUGGACGAAAGUCUGAUCCAGCGACGCCGCGUGAAGGACGAAGGUUUUCGGAUUGUAAACUUCUUUUGCAGGGGAAAAAUACGCGCAAGCGUUUGAUUGUACUCUGUGAAUAAGCCACGGCUAACUACGUGCCAGCAGCCGCGGUAAUACGUAGGUGGCGAGCGUUACUCGGAAUUACUAGGCGUAAAGCGCGUGUAGGCGGGAGCUUAAGUCUGAUGUGAAAUCUCGUGGCUUAACUACGAGCGGCCGGUAGAUACUGGGCUUCUUGAAUUCGGUAGAGGUAACUGGAAUUCCAAGUGUAGCGGUGAAAUGCGUAGAUAUUUGGAAGAACGCCAAAGGCGAAAGCAGGUUACUGGGCCGCAAUUGACGCUGAGACGCGAAAGCUAGGGGAGCAAACAGGAUUAGAAACCCGGGUAGUCC
rnacentral:rRNA from 1 species